GAAUAUUGCGCAAUGGGGGAAACCCUGACGCAGCAACGCCGCGUGAGCGAUGAAGGCUUUCGGGUCGUAAACUCCUGUCUGGGGGGAUGAAUACUGACAGUACCCCCGGAGGAAUCCCCGGCUAACUACGUGCCAGCAGCCGCGGUAAUACGUAGGGGGCGAGCGUUGUCCGGAAUUACUGGGCGUAAAGCGCGCGCAGGUGGCUUGUUAAGUCAGGUGUCAAAAUGCGGGGCUCAACCCCGUACCGCACUUGAAACUGGCAGGCUUGAGUGCAGGAGAGGGAAGUGGAAUUCCUAGUGUAGCGGUGAAAUGCGUAGAUAUUAGGAGGAACACCAGUGGCGAAGGCGACUUCCUGGACUGUAACUGACACUGAGGUGCGAAAGCGUGGGGAGCAAAC
rnacentral:rRNA from 1 species